rnacentral:rRNA from 1 species
GAUGAACGCUGGCUACAGGCUUAACACAUGCAAGUCGAGGGGAAACGACGGGGAAGCUUGCUUCCCCGGGCGUCGACCGGCGCACGGGUGAGUAACGCGUAUCCAACCUGCCUCUGACUGAGGGAUAACCCGUCGAAAGUCGGCCUAAUACCUCAUGGCAUCGUCUGCGGGCAUCCAACGACGAUUAAAGAUUUCAUCGGUCAGAGAUGGGGAUGCGUCUGAUUAGCUUGUUGGCGGGGUAACGGCCCACCAAGGCGACGAUCAGUAGGGGUUCUGAGAGGAAGGUCCCCCACAUUGGAACUGAGACACGGUCCAAACUCCUACGGGAGGCAGCAGUGAGGAAUAUUGGUCAAUGGGCGAGAGCCUGAACCAGCCAAGUAGCGUGCAGGAUGACGGCCCUAUGGGUUGUAAACUGCUUUUAUGCGGGGAUAAAGUGAGGGACGUGUCCUUCAUUGCAGGUACCGCAUGAAUAAGGACCGGCUAAUUCCGU